GUACAAUCUGUCUAGAAGCAGACACGAUGAAAUACUCUCUCUUGGUUGUAAUAUCAAUGAUCUUUGUGGCGGCAUCACAGGCUCAGGUUGACUGCGAUAAGACGACUCUCCUAAUAGGCAAUGGGAUGUGCACUGAGGGACCGCUGCCUAUUCCGCCAAAUCAAGUUACUCGGCUACGGUGCCCAUGUGCAAACGUUACAUGUCAUGACUACAUGAGGCGAGUCACAAUUACCUGGCUUGACGCUGCCGAUGGGUGCUCCUCCAAUCUGGAUCACUUUUUAAUAAGAGAGCGUUGAAGAGCAC